rnacentral:rRNA from 1 species
GUGCCAGCCGCCGCGGUAAGACAGAGGGUGCAAACGUUGUUCGGAAUUACUGGGCGUAAAGCGCGUGUAGGCGGCCCGACAAGUCGGAUGUGAAAGCCCCGGGCUCAACCCGGGAAGUGCAUUCGAUACUGUCAGGCUGGAGUCCCGGAGAGGAUGGUGGAACUCUCGGUGUAGAGGUGAAAUUCGUAGAUAUCGAGAAGAACACCGGCGGCGAAGGCGGCCAUCUGGACGGUGACUGACGCUGAGACGCGAAAGCGUGGGGAGCAAACAGGAUUAGAAACCCGAGUAGUCC